UACGUAGGGUGCGAGCGUUGUCCGGAAUUAUUGGGCGUAAAGAGCUCGUAGGCGGUGUGUCACGUCGUUCGUGAAAACCUACAGCUUAACUGUGGGCGUGCGGUCGAUACGGGCAUCACUGGAGUUCGGCAGGGGAGACUGGAAUUCCUGGUGUAGCGGUGAAAUGCGCAGAUAUCAGGAGGAACACCGGUGGCGAAGGCGGGUCUCUGGGCCGAUACUGACGCUGAGGAGCGAAAGCGUGGGGAGCAAACAGG
rnacentral:rRNA from 1 species